rnacentral:rRNA from 1 species
GACGAACCGUGCGAACGUUGUCCGGAAUUAUUGGGCGUAAAGAGCUCGUAGGCGGUUUGUCGCGUCUGCUGUGAAAACUCGAGGCUCAACCUCGAGACGUCGGCGGAAACCAUCUGGCUAGAGUCCGGAAGAGGAGAGUGGAAUUCCUGGUGUAGCGGUGAAAUGCGCAGAUAUCAGGAGGAACACCAGUGGCGAAGGCGCCACUCUGGGCCGUAACUGACGCUGAGGAGCGAAAGCGUGGGUAGCAAACAGG